CUGAAUACUAGACUGAGUGAUAGACACUGACAAUAGUCAAAAAUGUUUAACAAAGAUUACAUAGUAGGGCUACUGCUAAUGGUUAUAGGACUGUCAGGUUUUCAGGGUCAGAGGCUGAUUGAGUCUGGACCAGUAGUUAAAAAGCCUGAAGAACCACACAAACUGACGUGCAUAGCCUCUGGUUUAGACAUGAAUAACUACCGGAUGGCUUGGAUCAGACAGGCUCCUGGGAAAGGACUGGAGUGGGUUGCAGCUAUUACCCAUGACAGCAGAAGCACCUACUACCCCCAGUCUGUUCAGGGUCGGUUCACCAUCUCCAGAGACAAUAGCAUGAAACAGGUGUAUCUCCAGAUGAACAGUCUGAAGACUGAAGACUCUGCUGUUUAUUAUUGUGCCAGAGACACAGUGACACAGGAGGCUAAAGAGCUGUACAUAAACUGAUCAAGCACUUCUCUCACUGGAAGAGUCUAAUGGGAUGUAAGACAGACAAUAAACUGAGGAUCCAGCACAAGUGUAUUCACAGCAUACCAUUCCUCAUCAAGCUCAAUGAAGCUUAAACCACUCUGACCAUGUUAGUCAGUAAAUAUAAUCUUGAUUACAGCUUAUUUACAUUCACCUGUAUAUCAGUCUA